rnacentral:rRNA from 1 species
UAAAAUAAUUAAGGGCACACAAAGGAUGCCUAGGUAGUAAGAGCCGAUGAAGGACGUGGUAAGCUGCGAUAAGCCUAGAUAAGUUGCAAUCGAACGUAAGAGUCUAGGAUUUCCGAAUGGAGCAAUCUAUUAAGAUGGAGUCUUAAUACGAAAGAGGGAACCGCGUGAACUGAAACAUCUAAGUAACGCGAGGAAAAGAAAGUAAAAACGAUACCCAAAGUAGCGGCGAGCGAAAUGGGUCAAGCCUAAACCUUAAAUAUGUCAAGGAUACAGCCGUUGUAUUUAAGGGGUUGUGGGACAGAGUGAUGAAGAACUGUAAGAUAUUCAAUAUAGUGUAUUGAUGAAUUAGAAUUGUCUGGAAAGGUGAACCGCAGAAGGUGAAAGUCCUGUAUAAGUAAAUCCUUACACAUAUAACUUUGCUCCCAAGUAACAUGGAACACGAGGAAUUCUGUGUGAAUCUGUGAGGACCAUAUCUCAUAAGGCUAAAUACUCUUACUAACCGAUAGCGCAUAGUACCGUGAGGGAAAGGUGAAAAGAACCCCUGGAGGGGAGUGAAAUAGAACCUGAAAUUGUGUGCUUACAAGCGGUCAGAGCCCAUUUGGGUGAUGGCGUGCCUUUUGGAGAAUGAUCCUGCGAGUUACGUUAAACGGCGAGGUUAAGUAUAACGGAGCCGAAGGGAAACCAAGUCUUAAUAGGGCGAUUUAGUCGUUUGGCGUAGACGCGAAACCUGGUGAUCUAAACCUGUCCAGGAUGAAGCUGUGGUAAGACACAGUGGAGGUCCUAACCCACCGCCGUUGAAAAGUUGGGGGAUGAGGUAGGUUUAGGGGUGAAAAGCCAAUCGAACCAGGAGAUAGCUCGUUCUCUCCGAAAUGCAUCUAGGUGCAGCCUUGAGUGUUCAAUUAUGGGGGUAGAGCACUGAAUGAUCUAGGGGGCAUAUUGCUUACUGAAAUCAAUCAAACUCCGAAUACCAUAAUUUAUAGCUCAGGAGUGAGACUAUGGGAGUUAACUUCCAUUGUCAAAAGGGAAACAACCCAGACCACCAGCUAAGGUCCCUAAUUAUAACUAAGUGGGAAAGGAGGUGGAGAUUCACAAACAACUAGGAGGUUGGCUUAGAAGCAGCCAUACCUUUAAAGAGUGCGUAAUAGCUCACUAGUCGAGAGUCUCUGCGCCGACAAUGUAACGGGGCUAAGUUAUAAACCGAAGCUGUGGAAUCCGUAAGGAUUGGUAGGAGAGCGUUCUGUAGGCCGUUGAAGAAGAAGGGUAACCAACUUUGGAGGUAUCAGAAGUGAGAAUGCAGGAAUAAGUAGCGAGAAAGGGGGCGAGAAUCCCCCUCGCCGGAAGACCAAGGUUUUCAGGGUAAAGCUUGUCUUCCCUGAGUAAGCCGGGACCUAAGCCCAGGCUAUAAUGCGUAGGCGAAUGGAAAACAGAUUAAUAUUUCUGUGCCAGUCAUUUAUUGUGAUGGAGGGACGCAGAAGGGUAUGCGCGCGGACGAACGGAAGUGUCCGUAGAAGUAUGUAGGGUGACUUAGUAGGUAAAUCCAUUAAGUUAUAUCUGAGGUAUGAUAUACAGUCGUAAGAUGAAUGUGCAAAUCCCACGCUGCCAAGAAAAGCUUCUAACGUUAAUAUAUGACUGCCCGUACUGUAAACCGACACAGGUGGUCAGGAUGAGAAAUCUAAGGCGGACAGGCUAACUCUCGUUAAGGAACUCUGCAAAAUAACCUCGUAACUUCGGGAGAAGAGGAGCCCUUGAGUGUUAGUAUCCAUGCGAUACAAAGCGCUCGAGGGUCGCAGUGAAGAGGCUCAAGCAACUGUUUAACAAAAACACAGGUCUAUGCUAAGCUGGAAGGCGAUGUAUAUGGGCUGACACCUGCCCAGUGCUGGAAGGUUAAGAGGAGGAGUGAGAGCUCCGAAUUGAAGCCCCAGUGAACGGCGGCCGUAACUAUAACGGUCCUAAGGUAGCGAAAUUCCUUGUCGGGUAA